UACGUAGGGUGCGAGCGUUAAUCGGAAUUACUGGGCGUAAAGCGUGCGCAGGCGGUUCGUUAAGUCAGCUGUGAAAGCCCCGGGCUCAACCUGGGAACUGCGGUUGAAACUGGCGAACUAGAAUCUGGAAGAGGGGGGUGGAAUUCCACGUGUAGCAGUGAAAUGCGUAGAGAUGUGGAGGAACACCGAUGGCGAAGGCAGCCCCCUGGGCUAAGAUUGACGCUCAGGCACGAAAGCGUGGGGAGCAAACAGG
rnacentral:rRNA from 1 species